rnacentral:rRNA from 1 species
CUUAGUGGCGGACGGGUGAGUAACGUGUGGGCAACCUGCCCUAUACUGGGGAAUAAUCACUGGAAACGGUGACUAAUACCGCAUGUCAUUACGGAAGGGCAUCCUUCUGUAAGAAAAGGAGUAAUUCGGUAUAGGAUGGGCCCGCAUCUGAUUAGCUAGUUGGUGAGAUAACAGCCCACCAAGGCGACGAUCAGUAGCCGACCUGAGAGGGUGAUCGGCCACAUUGGGACUGAGACACGGCCCAAACUCCUACGGGAGGCAGCAGUGGGGAAUAUUGCACAAUGGGGGAAACCCUGAUGCAGCAACGCCGCGUGAAGGAAGAAGGUUUUCGGAUCGUAAACUUCUAUCAACAGGGACGAAGAAAGUGACGGUACCUGAAUAAGAAGCCCCGGCUAACUACGUGCCAGCAGCCGCGGUAAUACGUAGGGGGCAAGCGUUAUCCGGAAUUACUGGGUGUAAAGGGAGCGCAGGCGGUACGGCAAGUCUGAUGUGAAAGCCCGGGGCUCAACCCCGGUACUGCAUUGGAAACUGUCGGACUAGAGUGUCGGAGGGGUAAGUGGAAUUCCUAGUGUAGCGGUGAAAUGCGUAGAUAUUAGGAGGAACACCAGUGGCGAAGGCGGCUUACUGGACGAUUACUGACGCUGAGGCUCGAAAGCGUGGGGAGCAAACAGGAUUAGAUACCCUGGUAGUC